rnacentral:rRNA from 1 species
GACGAACGCUGGCGGCGUGCUUAACACAUGCAAGUCGAGCGGUAAGGCCCUUUCGGGGGUACACGAGCGGCGAACGGGUGAGUAACACGUGGGUGACCUGCCCUCAGCUCUGGGAUAAGCCCGGGAAACUGGGUCUAAUACCGGAUAUGACUCCAUGACGCAUGUUGUGGGGUGGAAAGCCUUGUGCGGCUGAGGAUGGGCCCGCGGCCUAUCAGCUUGUUGGUGGGGUGAUGGCCACCAAGGCGACGACGGGUAGCCGGCCUGAGAGGGCGACCGGCCACACUGGGACUGAGAUACGGCCCAGACUCCUACGGGAGGCAGCAGUGGGGAAUCUUGCGCAAUGGGCGAAAGCCUGACGCAGCGACGCCGCGUGAGGGAUGACGGCCUGUGUAC